AGAGUUUGAUCAUGGCUCAGGAUGAACGCUAGCUACAGGCUUAACACAUGCAAGUCGAGGGGCAGCAUGUUGGUUGCUUGCAACCAACGAUGGCGACCGGCGCACGGGUGAGUAACGCGUAUCCAACCUACCCUUGUCCAUCGGAUAACCCGUCGAAAGGCGGCCUAACACGAUAUGCGGUUCACAGCAGGCAUCUAACGUGAACGAAAUGUGAAGGAGAAGGAUGGGGAUGCGUCUGAUUAGCUUGUUGGGCGGGGUAACGGCCACCAAGGCUACGAUCAGGUAGGGGUUCUGAGAGGAAGGUCCCCCAGACUUGGAACUGAGACACGGUCCAAACUCCGUACGGGAGGCA
rnacentral:rRNA from 1 species